GAGGGAGAAGGCGGGUCGCGCGGCAGCGGCAUGGGCAGGGCGAGGGCGAGAAGUUGCAGGCGGCUCCUGCCGGGCAGGACGCGGGGUGCCCGAGGCCAGGGGGCGCCUAGCGGGGCAGAGCCGCGGGACGGGACGAGCCCCGGGGGCGGCAGAGACAGCAGCUGCCAGCGCCUCCGAAGUUGAGGUCAGUGUGCUGGGGUGGGAGGUUGUUGCUGGCUUCUUGGAAGCAUGCAUCUGUCUGCAUUGGGUUAAUCCUCCAGAAGCUGGUGAGCCACUGACUAACGCACAUUGUGCUGUUAAAGACUCCACUGUGCGUGUGACAGCGGCUAACCUGCUUUUCGGACAUCACUGUAUAUACGCCAUCAUCCUGUCCCAUGAAGAGGCAAUACUCGAUCCUGGGGACUGCACCUAGCUUCCAUCAGCAUGGUAGGAGACAGCUGUUUGCAUCCCAGCAGCAGCCCCUGACAAAUUCACCGACCUGAACUAUUGUGAAAUCUUCAGAAAAGUUUGCUUGCAAUUUGUUUCUUUCCUUUAAAACUCAAGCUGAGAGGGAGCACAGUACCUUUUCUUGAAAUAAGUUCAUUGAUUGUACUAUGUUUAAUGAGUUCCCCUUGAUACAUGUGCCUGUCUUUCUCAUACAGCUACAAAUCAGACGCUCUCUGUGUGUUUUUGUUUGUUUGUUUUAAAUUAGCAACCUCUCAGUGGCAGAGCAUUGAAAGACUUAAUGCUUCUGGGCCAUUCUACUACAAGGACCAAGUGAACUCUAUACAUUAUGAUGUGAGCUAGGGCUUCUGUGACAGGAAACAGCUAUAAAGUCUUCCUGGGAAGACUGCAGAUGCAAUAGCACAUCUUCAAAAAUGAGACCCUGCUUUCCUCCACCUCACCUAUUCUUUCCAAAAAGCUAGUGAUUUGGGAUUUUGUUUAAAUCAUGUUAGUUGGAGAAACUCUUCAUCCUGCCUGUGACAUCUUGGUACCCAGUCAAUGACUAAUUGAACUCCUGCUGCCAAGGGUGUGUUAACAGAAUAAACUGUGCUUGGUAUUGCCAUGGUGAGUCAUUUUAAAGACUCUUUCUUCUGUUUAGAAGUAAAUCAUAAACCAGUUUCACCUUCCAGUUUUUCUUACCGCCUUUGCAGUUUCUUGUAGCUGGCUGUGUCUUAAAUGAAGGCUCUGCUCCUUUCCAAGCCAGUUUUCUCUCCUGAUUUGAUCGUGCAGUGAAGUCUUACUGAUAAAACUCAAGUGACUCCAUUCAUUUCUCUAACAGAAUGUGAUGUCACAAAUGCAGAAUCAACACUUCAUUGCUUGCGUCACGCGGAAAGCAAAGGCGAUGAGAGGGAAGCUUCAGAUAUUUGUGGUUGCAUUAAACAGCAACAGUAAAGAGGAUAGAGGAAGUGACUAAGCAAAUUGUGUUUGGUAUAAAGUUCUUUCAGUUUGGCUCCAUUAUAGAAACUCACUAGCUACAGAGCUUGCUCUUAAGGUGAGGUGUGGACCUGUUUUACCUCUAGAUGACUUCAUGACUCCAAGCCAGGUUAGUAGUGACCAGAUACUGUUUACUGAUAGCUGUUUAGUGGCCUCUAUGAAAUGAUUUGGUGCUCUCCAUUUCAUUUCAGCCAUACCCUGGGGGAAACCUAGCAUUUCAUCCCAU